UGCAAGUCGAGCGAGCUGAAUUCAAAGAUCCCUUCGGGGUGAUUUGUUGGAUGCUAGCGGCGGAUGGGUGAGUAACACGUGGGCAAUCUGCCCUAAAGACUGGGAUACCACUUGGAAACAGGUGCUAAUACCGGAUAACAACAUGAAUCGCAUGAUUCAAGUUUGAAAGGCGGCGCAAGCUGUCACUUUAGGAUGAGCCCGCGGCGCAUUAGCUAGUUGGUGGGGUAAAGGCCUACCAAGGCAAUGAUGCGUAGCCGAGUUGAGAGACUGAUCGGCCACAUUGGGACUGAGACACGGCCCAAACUCCUACGGGAGGCAGCAGUAGGGAAUCUUCCACAAUGGACGCAAGUCUGAUGGAGCAACGCCGCGUGAGUGAAGAAGGUCUUCGGAUCGUAAAGCUCUGUUGUUGGUGAAGAAGGAUAGAGGCAGUAACUGGUCUUUAUUUGACGGUAAUCAACCAGAAAGUCACGGCUAACUACGUGCCAGCAGCCGCGGUAAUACGUAGGUGGCAAGCGUUGUCCGGAUUUAUUGGGCGUAAAGCGAGCGCAGGCGGAAUGAUAAGUCUGAUGUGAAAGCCCACGGCUCAACCGUGGAACUGCAUCGGAAACUGUCAUUCUUGAGUGCAGAAGAGGAGAGUGGAACUCCAUGUGUAGCGGUGGAAUGCGUAGAUAUAUGGAAGAACACCAGUGGCGAAGGCGGCUCUCUGGUCUGCAACUGACGCUGAGGCUCGAAAGC
rnacentral:rRNA from 1 species